CCUACGGGUGGCAGCAGUGGGGAAUAUUGGGCAAUGGGCGCAAGCCUGACCCAGCAACGCCGCGUGAAGGAAGAAGGCUUUCGGGUUGUAAACUUCUUUUCUCAGGGACGAAGAAAGUGACGGUACCUGAGGACUAAGCCACGGCUAAAUACGUGCCAGCAGCCGCGGUAAUACGUAGGUGGCAAGCGUUCUCCGGAUUUAUUGGGUGUAAAGGGCGUGGAGGCGGGAGCGCAAGUCAGAUGUGAAAACUCAGGGCUCAACCCUGCGCCUGCAUUUGAAACUGUGUUUCUUGAGUGUAUGAGAGGAGAGUGGAAUGCCAGGUGUAGGAGUGAAAUCCGUAGAUAUCUGGAGGAACAUCAGUGGCGAAGGCGACUAUCUGGCACAUAACUGACGCUGAGGAGCGAAAGCGUGGGUAGCAAACAGGAUUAGAUACCCCGGUAGUC
rnacentral:rRNA from 1 species